AUGCCCUGUAAACAUAGCCAGAUAUUCAAUUAGCCACCUGCUUAGAAGCAUCUAUCAGAAACAGCGAUCAAUCAAUAAUUUAAAUGUCUAUUUUGUAUUUCAACCAGCAAAAUCAAUGAAAUGACCAAUUACCAUUGAACAAACAAAAGUAAUUCAGGUUGAGUGUUGUGUCUGUCAAACACCAGUCACCUUACAGCUAAACAUGCAAUUAAAACACAGAAAAUAACUUUUUUCCUUUGUUAUGUCUAGAGAUGAAUCAACAGCAAAUCAGCCAGAACUAGUUCAUUGAUGCUGAGUACGGUGUAGCAUAAAGCCUAUGGAGAUGUUUUUAAAUAGUUCCCUUUGAACAGCAGUAGGAAGGAAGUGUUGAACGUUAGUUUAGCCGCCGUCUAUUAAAUUGGAAACAAGGUCUGGAAAUUAUUAUCAGAAAAUAUCCAGAAGGGAAAGCACACGUGGGACAGCCUGUCUGGCCACAGGAGGCCACUGCUGCACUGCCUGAACACUGCAAAUACAGGCUUUCACUGAGGCACUUCUUUGGAGGCUUCCGUCUGUAACUCAUCUCAGUGAACAGCGUGCUAGCACUGUUAAAAAUGGAAGUCAAGGAGCUCAUAAGGGAUGCCAACAUGACUGACAACAUCAGACCUCGUAGACCUGAAAAACAAAGACACUGUAUACGUGAACUGGGAUGGGCACUCAGUGAAGCGUGUCAGUGCACAGCACCAUCCAUAGAGACUGCCAGACCCUUUCAAGUCAGCCAGCUCUGCGUAUGCCUGGCACGCUCGAGUGCCAAUGCCUGCCUGCCACUCUCUUGCAGUGCAAGCAGAGUGAUUGCUGCUGAGCUUUGGAAAAGCUGUUUGCAGCAGUGAUGGGACCAUGCUUGAGCUUUUAGAACGUAGGUAGUUCCUUUGUGAACGCUUCUGGAUUAGAUGCUAAAACAAAAACUACAAAGCAGACUUCAACCAGAGUUAUAAAAACGUUUCUCUUGAAUUCAAUGCAGUGCUCAGUUUCCUGUGGUAUAUUUGUAAAUCAGUUGUCGCAAGUUUCUUUUACUGAUUAAAAAUCGGAGUAAAACCA